rnacentral:rRNA from 1 species
UACAGAGGGUGCAAGCGUUUAAUCGGAAUUACUGGGCGUAAAGGGCGCGUAGGUGGUUGCGUAAGUGAGAUGUGAAAUCCCCGGGCUUAACCUGGGACGUGCAUCUUAUACUGCGUAACUGGAGUACAAGAGAGGGUAGUGGAAUUUCCGGUGUAGCGGUGAAAUGCGCAGAUAUCAGGAAGAACACCCGUGGCGAAGGCGGCUCUCUGGGACGGUACUGACGCUGAGACGCGAAAGCGUGGGGAGCGAACAGG